AUAACCAUAUUAAAUCAUGCAUACAAACUCAUAACCAACUGCCACUAGUAUAUAUUCAAUCACAUGUUAUCCUUAAAUUAAGUAUAUUUUUCACAUGUACCUAGGUUAUAACAAAAACUCCACAGAAAUUAUAGAGAAAGUUAUAACAAAAACUCCACAGAAAUUAUAGAGAAAGAAACUACUAAGGUUGUCCACUUAGUGAAUUAAACUAUCACUUAGUGAAUUAAACUGACCAACCCGACUUAUCCAAACCGACUCAAACCAAUUUAUAGGUUUAAAUUCCAACUUCGGGUCCAAUUGGUUAAUUUUCUUCAAAUAAUCACUUUUUUAGUUGGUUGAGAGAAUUAGUUCUUGAGACUGGACUCUACUUUCUAAUCCCUAACUUCCUCUGCGAUUCUAUAGCCUCCAACCUCCAGAGAAACUUUGUCGUCUCCUCCAGAGACUUCUAAUCUUGAGAAAUACCGAAGAGGCCUCUCCAGAAACCUUCACCGACUUCUUCAGCAACUUCGAAUUUUGUUGUCGACGCCUCAAAAGGAUGGUUUUGAUGAAGUUCUAGAGCAUAUAAGUGUGGAAGGAAGCUUGGAAAGGUAAAAGGAUUGAGAAGUGUUGAUGAUACAAAGUACACGGGUUGUGUAAGCACAACCACGAACCCGUGUAACAUUCUGCUAGAAGAAAUCCAAAGAGCCGAGGAAGAAACAAAGUACACGGGUCGUGUAACUUGACCCAUGUAAAUCCUAGAGACCCGUGUAACCUUCUGUGCCAAUGCAAGACAUACCCAUUCAGCUUUAGUAAGUUACACGGCCCUGGGCCGUGUAGUGAUACACGGGCUGUGUAUCCGUCGAUAAUCAGUUUCUUGAUUUUACUUCAGUUGCAGUUUUUAAUAGAGAGAAAGACUCUUAACACCUCAGGGACUAUAAAAACCCAACCCUAGGCCAUUUAUUAUAAAUAGAAGAGGCAGCAGCCGAUCCAAGGGGGAUUAGACCUUCGUUCUCCAUUCACAUUCUAGAUUUCUUCAAUUUUCUUCUUUAAUUUUCUGUAAGCCAUGAACAUGAGUGGCUAAGUUUUUAAUUCAGUUCAAGGGAUUCAAGUUCUUUUGUGUGAUUUGUGAGACCAAGUUCUUAAUUUAAUUUAUGUCUUUUGAAUA